CGCGUGUUUGGAAGUUGAUGCACACCACAGGAGCACAGUGGAGUGAGAGAGCAGGUCAGAGAUCUGCAGCGGCACCGGAGAGCGCGCGGGCAUGCCCGGUGACGUAGCGGCUCCGUCCGUGUGGGAAGUGGUGAGCGUGCUGGGCAGAGCGUUGUGCGCAGGCGCGGCUCUCACUGCCGCUCUCUACCUGAUCCGCAGAGUGUGUUUAAUAAUGGCCUGGAAAUCAGGAGGAGCCAGCCAAGCGGAGCUCGUCAACAACCUCCGCAAGAAUGGCAUCAUUAAGUCGGACCGUGUGUAUGAAGUCAUGCUAAGCACAGACCGAGCCCAUUUCUCCAGAUGUAACCCUUAUAUGGAUUCUCCACAGUCUAUAGGAUACCAGGCAACCAUCAGUGCGCCACAUAUGCAUGCAUAUGCACUGGAGUUGUUACAUGAUCAGCUAUAUGAAGGUGCCAAAGCUCUGGAUGUGGGAUCAGGCAGCGGCAUCCUGUCAGUCUGUUUCGCCAGGAUGGUGGGGCCAAAGGGAAAAGUCAUUGGGAUUGAUCACAUAAAGGAACUGGUGGACGACUCAAUCAACAACGUUAAGAAAGAUGACCCGACACUGAUCUCAUCAGGACGCAUCAAACUUCUCGUUGGAGAUGGCAGGCUGGGCUAUCCGGAGGAGGCUCCCUAUGAUGCGAUACAUGUAGGAGCUGCAGCUCCCUCUGUUCCACAGGCUUUACUGGACCAGCUGAAGCCUGGCGGGCGUCUCAUCCUGCCAGUCGGACCAGCUGGAGGGAACCAGAUGCUGGAGCAGCAUGACAAGCUGGAGGACGGCAGCACCAAAAUGAAGCCCCUCAUGGGGGUGAUUUACGUGCCUUUAACAGACAAAGACAAGCAGUGGUCCAGGUGGAAGUGACUUCCUGUCCCUCUCUUCCCCCUCCCUCCUUUCCCCAGGGAACAGGUGAAAUGGUGUGGUCUGGAGCAAGACAAGGCUGCCUUUGCUGGAUGAACUCUAAAACAACAGUCUGGCAAUAUUCAGCAUCAUACAUACAAAUACACACACACACACACACACACACACACACACAGCAUCCAUCUGGACUUAACAACUAACGACAAGAUGGUAAACGGAUGACGAAGAAAAGCCACGCUCUCUGCACUCUUGCUCUCGGGACAGUCUGACCGCUGUGUGGCCAAAGAGGCCUCAGGAUGGAAGAAAAAAUAAAGACUGCUUGAAAAAAAAAAAAGGAAAAAAAACUAAAUGAGGGGCUUUGUCUUGACAUUUUCAUGCCUGCAGUUUGCUUAGGAUUUGUGAAUUGUUCUUUUUCUCAUUGUUGAUUUGCAGGUGCACUUUUUUGUGAGAACUACAGUAUUGCAGCUGAUUCUUUUUUUUUGUUGGUUUUUUUUUUUCUUUUUUUUUUGUUUACAUGUGUUCCAGCUUGUUUGGAGCUGGUGCUGUUUUGGACUAUAGGAGUGGGAGUGAUAUUAAAGGAUAAGUCCACACUCUGUUCUCUGCUCAUGUUAAAGGGGCGCUCAUGAAACCAUGCUGAAUGCAUUUUUUUUUUUUUUCCUGGACAUGUCUAGUUAGGUUUGUAAAACGUUCUGAAAGUUGGGCUGGGAAUUUGUAGAGAGUAGAUUUGAUUGGUAGCUAGGGCUGCGACUGAGAUUAGAUCAAUGAAGUGUUCUUGAUCAGGGUUUAUCAGACUUAUCAUUAGAGAUCAAUUCCUCCCUGCCCCCAACCUUUCCUUUCUGCUAAUUAGCUACAAAAAUCGUAAGGAUUACACAAUAGUACAUUACCACAAUCUGAAAAACACUAAUAUAAUAAAUGAAAAUGAAAAGAUUUACCAGUCACAUUAGUAUAGUUCUUUAUGCACUAUUGGUCAUGAACCUCAAAGCGGUUCUUCUGAAAAAUAUUUCACUUUCUUUUACGCAAGCGCAUCGGUUCGAGAUGAAUUUCUUAGGAACAGUUCUUACUCGUGAAGCGGCGUGUACAUUUCCCGAGCCUCAGCUCCAAAUCUCCAUUCAGACCCCAUUCACAGCUGCAGCACAGUUUAGCGUAGAUCUGCUCAGGCUGGUGUGACACUAUUUUAACCCUAGCUGAUUAACAAACAGCUCGUUGCUAAUGCCAUCCUAUACCAACCGCUUACAUUUGCUCUGUCCAACAUGCUCCAGAGGUUCACCGCCGCGUGCAACGAGCACACACACGUGUUAAAACGCUCUCUCUUCCUCUCACACAGAUGCACAUACACGCAGGGCUGAGCUUGUGUCCCCUUCCACUGUGGACAUGCUGGCUGUCACCAUGCUGAUUGUGACACACACGUGGCUUUGUACAAAUAAAACCCAACACAGUGCAAACCA